UCCCUGGUGGCUCAGUGGUAGAGAAUCUGCCUGCAAUGCAGAAGACCCGGGUUCGAUCCCUGGGUGGGGAA
rnacentral:tRNA from 1 species